rnacentral:rRNA from 1 species
AUGCAGAAGACGGCGCAGUCCUGGUUCACCGGCGGCUCCGCCUCCCCCAGCACCGCCGCGGAGUCGCAGCCCUCCCUGCUCGCCGACUGGAACUCCUACGCAGCCACCCGGUCGGACGUCUCCUCCUCCUCCCCCCUCCCGUUCGACAUCGAGGCCGCCGUCCGCUCGGCCAACGACACCGUCUCCGGCACCUUCAAUGUGGUGUCCAAGGGCGUGCGGGAGCUGCCGGGGAGCUUCCAGGGCGCCACCAGCAGCUUCCCCUCGGGGAAGGCGCUCACGUACUUCGGGCUCUUCCUCGCCACCGGCAUCUUCUUCGUCUUCAUCGCCUUCACGCUCUUCCUCCCCGUCAUGGUGCUCAUGCCGCAGAAGUUCGCUAUCUGCUUCACACUUGGCUGCGCUCUCAUCAUCGCUUCGCUCUUCGCGCUCAAAGGGCCCGCCAACCAGCUCGCCCAUAUGACGUCAAAAGAGAGGCUACCAUUUACAGUGGGGUUCACCGGAUGCAUGGUUGGCACAAUUUAUGUCUCUAUGGUGCUUCACAGCUAUUUUCUGUCGGUGAUAUUCUCAAUCCUUCAGGUCCUUGCUCUUGCUUACUACACCAUAUCCUACUUCCCUGGAGGCUCUAGUGGAUUGAAGUUUCUCUCGUCAAGUCUCCUGUCCCCAGUAUCAAGAAUUUUUAGCUCGUAA